ACAGUAACUGCCGCUGGUUUUGUUGCUUUUUUAAAUCUGGUAUCGGUCAACCCUGAAGCCUCUGCUCAAGGAGAUCAACCCUGCUCCCGAUGGCUCUAUGCCAAACUGGCCUGGCUGUUGCUGUUGUCUCUCAACAGACUCCAGCUGCACCACACUAGAAAGGAGAGGAGGAACAACUUGGGGAGACAUCUGAAGUAGUCAAAUAUACAUGGAGCUAGCUACACGGUGUAGCUGAGGAAAGGCAAGAGAAGAUGAUGAUGCUUUGAGAGGAAGAGAGCUAUUCAAAUUCCCCAGAAGAGUAGAUCAAGCGGAGUCACCUUCACAACCUAAGCACCUCUUGGUAAUCAACUGGACUGGGGUGGGGAGGAAAUCGUCCCUAUUUCUUCUGCACAUGCCCGCACCUCCCCCCUGCCGCCCCAUGACUGACAUUUUCUUGACCUGAGCAAGGGUGUGCUUCUGCUCUCACCAACAAGAGACGGAGUAAGCGCUUCAGGAGAAUCACCCUUCGAGAAGCCCACCUUGAAUUACAAAAUGGGACCAUACUACGGAACCGCAUGAAGUCAAUGCAAGCUAAGGUCAACAGAUUUAUAAAAUGUUUACUCGUUUU